GUCUUCGUGGCUCAGUUGGUUAGAGCGUUGGUCUCAUAUUCAUAUGAUUCAAUCCUAGAUUGGGCCAUCCAAAGGUCGUGAGUUCGAGCCUCACCGAGGACA